GUAUCUCCUCAAUCCCGACAUGUCCCGGGCUCCGAACGUCUCCUGGGAAGCGGCACGAUGGAUCAAGGCCUCCCCAGCCCCGGGCCCCCUUCUCGGCCAUUCCCGGGACCGGUCUGACUUGUUCCCAGGUAAUCUGAGGGGAAACCGAGAAAUCAGCACGCUGAGAAGAGGAGCAGUGCUACGCAAGAGGCCAUGGAGGAUGGAUAGAGACGGACAGAUGGGUAGAACCUCUGGAAGCAGCAUGUGUGUGGGUUGUGGGAGUCCUGCUUGUGUGGAGCCUGUGUAGACUGUGUGAGGCUGGAUGGGGGAGAGUGAACAGAAGUGUGAUGGCGAGGGUCAUGUGAGUGUACAUGUGUGAGCCUGUGUGAAGCUGUGGCUAUCUCCUAUUUAUGGCUGCCUGAAGCUUUUAUUUUCUGUGCCUAGAAAUUUCUUCCCUCUGUUGUAUAAUAAAGAAUUUGUCUGGC